UGCCGGGGGCACCGGGCACCGUCCCCCUCAGGGGCUGUGGGGCUCAAGGCACCGGGGAGCCACUGAGGAGCCAGUAAGGCUGAGGGCACCGGGGCUGCCGCAGGGGGAAGAGCGCCUUUGAAGGCAUUGUGCUGCUGCUGAGGUGCUGCUGGUGCCUAGGGCCCAGAGGAUGGUUUCCAUCUUCCCAGCAUUCCAGAAGGGCCACUCCGCACAGAACCAAGUGAUCCAAGGGAAGUGGGGGGGAAAGGGCCAGCCACGUUCCCUCCGUGUCUUGUCCUACCCCUAGGACCCCUUGUACUGGGUUAGCAUUGUGCCUGUCUAUAGUUAUGUUUCCAGUUCUACCUCAGUAUGUAUGGAGUGAUAGAGCUCUACACAGUUCUAUGUCUUUAUAUACAGGGGGAUGAAGGUGUAGUUGAGUACUUUAGUCACUGAAUGGCUUUGCAUGGGUUCACAUACAAAUGGUUGUGUACAGCCAUUUUUACACAGAAGUCAAUAUAUUUACACAACGAAGAUUAUUAUUUUUAUCUAUCUCAAUUACUAUGUAAAUCUGCUUCACAUUGGACAGUUCUAUCUCUGUAUGAAUUUCUGUGUAAACCUGUGUCGCAUUGGACAGUUUCCUUCCAGCUCUGUAGGUAUUUAGAAAGGGCCAGGGAUGUUAGUCACUCUCCCUCCAUACAUCUGUGCAGGUGCCACUUUGUGACCUGUCAGUGUCACCAGGUGUGAACUGGUAGUGAUCUUUGUAACUUGCCAUGGAGUCAGCAGAGACAUAACUAUGUGCAGUAAGCUUGUAACACAACUUGCAAUUGUAUGGAAGAAGUGCAGGUAGAGCAAGCUGUAAUACAUUGCCUUUUUCAAGUCAAUUCGGCUUUGGUGCACUUCUCUAUUCUGUGGCCUAGCUAACUUAGCACACCUUAUCUCAGAGUUUGCAUACAAAUGUAUGCAAGCUUUCAGUCAGGCCCUAAGAAUCCUCUACAAUUCUAUUUCUCGCACACCAGCACUCUGGAGAGAUAGGACAUCCAAAUGCACACUGGGACUCUUUGGUUAGCCUUGGCUCAGAUUCAGGGGCAUGCAAAGGAGCAGCAGUGUACAGAUCAUGGCCAAAAGUGCUGCGGCUUUUCCCCAAGCUAUGGAGGCCUUCAAGUAAGGUUGCCUGGUAGCAAGGCACAGGCUUGCCCGCCCUAUGCUGUCCUCUGCAGGUGCUGUUGGCAGGGGAUGGGCAGAGUCAUUGCCUUCUAGCCCCUAAAACCCAGAACCAAAUGAGAUCAAGCUGAUCAAAAGCACUUACCAUGUCAUGACACUUCUCCAGGUCUACUUAUAGCCAAAUGCACAUGCGAUGCAAGGCUUCAGCACUUGUAGGAGUUUUGAAAAAGAGCAUCACUGACAAGAACCCCAUUUAGAAAUUCAGCUAAUGAAGUAAUUCCCCGUCUUGGUUUGGAGUCCUACUGAAGCUUCCACCUUGCUUCUGGCCCCCUGCUGGUUGUGUCAAGCAUGGGAAAGUGAAAUGGCCUUGGUUCACUGAAGAAGCAAGAUUCAAAGAGGAUUCCAGGAAUGUGUUUGUGUAACAGGGUGGGAAAAGUACUGCAGUUAGCUAAGAAACUAGAGACUUAGACAAGAUUUGCCUACAAAACUAAAACUAGAUGAGAAAGAAGUAAAAAGCAAAACUCUUUUGGCAUCAGAGUAUCCCCUCAGAUAGCGGCAGAAGGCAUGCCACUGGUGGGCAAGGUUGGUGGGUGGGAAGUUUGUGCUGCAGCCAGGAAGAGGGACCUCGUAGGGCUGGAGAAGGAGUGAGAGGUGACUUGGCCUCCUCCAGGAGGAACUGGUGGUCACCAAGCUGCAGUAAAAGCCUGCAAGCUCAGCUGCCUUUGCUCCAUCCCUGUCCCUGGGCACGGCUGGUUUGUCCAAACCCCUAGCCCCCCAGCCCCUUUGUGCUGGAUGCACCAGUGUGUGUGCCAAUGUCAGUGGGGUGGAGAAUGGGGGACACACCAGUGUUCUGUGCCAGGGGAUGCCAGGGAAGCCACCUGCAGCUCACUGCCUUCCUGUGCUCUGUGCAGCCAAGGCACUAGCCUGCGCCCACAGCUCUGCCUGGCCCUGGAGCAGCCCAGUGCAGCAAAAGAAGUUUUGCACUCUCAUUACAUCCUGGGUUAUGCAGGGUGUCAGUAAUGAUUCCAUAGGGGCCGCAAUGGAAAACUGCAGUGUUUCUGCAUACAUUUUACAUGGAAAGCAAUAUACCACCAGGUACUUCUCAAGUAUGCAGCUGGACACCAAGUCUGAGAUAGCUAGUAGGAGGCUAUGAUCUCCUUCCUGUGGGAGACACCAAGAAAAGGCACUUGGUAGGACAUGUGUGUGUCUGGACAGGGCACACAGAUGGCACUGUAUUGCCUCCCUCACUGCAUUCUAGCCCAGACAGGAACUUGUGGUUGGAGAAACAAGCCAUGCACACAUUAGAACAUCCUGUUUUGUGAGCUGUAUUGAUCACAAAACCCACAGGUAAUAGCACUGAUCUUCAGGAAUGUGCUGUGCCUUGAAAGAUCCAUUUCUGCUCUCUGGUUAAAGCACAGUGGAGCCACUGGCAAAGAACUCUUCAACUCUUCGUCUUGGAAAAGGAGGGUGGCAAAAAGGCUACAGCACACUCCAGCAUCACUGCAGCUGGCCAAAUCACUGGCCUGUUACCUGGGUCCUUGGGUGUUCUGGGAUAAAGGUGUGGCUUUGAUCUAUUUGAUUUGGCCAUUCUCCACAUGCCAUCCUCCUCUUUUACACUUGAAAGCUCCUGAGAGCUGUGUCAGUGUUUAUCUGGCACCAUCUCUUACAAGGGUUCAGUCUGUCAGAUGUUCCAGAACAGGCCUGAUCAUAAUGAGAGCAUUUUAUCUUCAACAGGAUAAUUGGAAAUUGGAAUUUUUUUUUCUGUUGUAUCCUUUGGGACAUUCUACAAUUGAGUUAUUGGAUGUUUUGAUGGAUAAUUGUGAUGGUGAUGCUGGUGGUAUAAUACUAAUAAUAAGGAGGGUGAUCAUAUGUAUUUCUUGCAGUUGAAUAGCAACCCAAAAGAGUUAUUUGGGAGAAUUUUUAUUAAAAACCCCAGUAUAUGCCCAGAACAAACUCAUUAUCCACCUUGUGUAGAGCUGAUAAUGGGAAAAAUUAUGUUUUCCUCACUUUUAUUCAAAUUACUCACCUUAAGGGAAGAGACUUCUUUUUGGUCUGAUUUAUUUAACUUUUUAUUCCCAAAGCCUUUUUGCAGCACUUUACAUAAUAACCAGCCAUCAUAUUCCCUUGAGUUUGGGACACCAUUAACAUAUAUUUCAUGCCCAGAGAGAUCCUAUAGGGGAAAUCUCAUGGUCACACAAGGAAGUCAGUUCGUUGCUGCUUGUACUGGCAUUCAAGGCUCUCUUUGGCUGCAUCUGUUCUAACAACACCUCCAACCCCUGCUAUGUAAAGGAACACUUGUGCUCCCACAGCCUGCAGUGUGAAAGAGAGAAGCAAAUGCAUAGGAAGGUGAUGUGAGAACAAAAUUGUCAUUGUCUGGUUGAUUUCUGCUUACCAUCACAGCAGCCAAAGCAUGCUUGUUUGUCACUUACCCUCUUCAUACCCAACCUGAUUUUCUCCAGCAGGAAGAGGUAUGGCCAGGUGAAACACUAACGUUUGACUUCAACUGCUACAGGGUGAAGCCUGGGAAAAAAAACUACCUGAGUAUCUCUGUGCAAAUUGUCUGUUGCUGAAUUAGAUUAAAGAGAUUAGAGAUUGGAGACUAGAGACUAGACAAGAAUAUAAUAUUUCAUUUGAAAGGAACUUACAACUAUCAUCUAUUUCAACUCCCUGAUCCCUUCAGGGAUGACUUAAAGCCACAUUAAAGACACUGUCCAAAUGUCUCUGGGACACUGACAGGCUUGGGGCAUCAAACAUCUCUCAAGGAAGCCUGUUUCAGUGUUAGGCCUCCCUUGUGGAAGAGAAAUGCUUCCUUCUCCUUUCAAGUCUGAACCAUCCCUGACACUGAUAUGCUGAUAGAAAAACUCUAUAACUCACAGAGUAGUUAUAAGAGUAGGUAUGAAUUUAUUCAGCACUGAGGUGUAUGGGGGAUAUCUCCUCCGAAAAGCAUGCACACUUUUGAGCUUUGGCUUUCUCUUUUUAAUCCUUUACAAACUACAGUUACGCAAUAUGCCUAAUACAUAUUCAUUUCCUAACCCAGCCUGUCCUUGCUUCAUGUUAAAAUUAGCUCCACGCCCCUUUGCAGCUACGCACUGGGUUUUUGGUCAGUUCGGUGGUCACCUGGGGGUCUUUGGGAUGAGGUCAGCAAUUUUCUCCUUGGCUGAACUUUCACCUUGCCUUCUCGCCCAUGCUCCUUUUAGUACUUUGACGACCUUUUGGACUUUGAUACCGUUCUUUCCGGCUUAGGGGUCCAAAGAAUCCCCUUAUCCUGCGGUGCCUUUGUCUUUGCAUCUUGUUUGUGUAUUCUAGCUCUUUAUCUUAUCUUGCAGUCUCACUCCUUUCUUUGCGCUUGUCAGCUCCCCCUCUCUUCUGUUCAGGCAUUUCUUUAUGCUUAAUUCCUAAAUCUUAAUUUCUCUGUUUCAACACAGCUCUGAAUCAUUUCCAUGUGUCCUGUGGGACAGGAAGAAGUCAGCACUUUCCUCUCCACUUCCCCAGGACAAAGGUUGAAAGAGAGAAGACAUGUGGAAGUAUCAGCAGAGGAGAAGAGACAGGGAUGGUAAAGAGACAAGGCCUCGGAAGAAGCAGAUGUGGACCAGAAGUCUGUGCUCAAAUGUCACCUUUUUGCUGAUACCCUGUCCUCUCAUGUUCUCCCCUAAACUGUAGCUCCACAGCUACAGUACCAGGAAGACUUUGGUAGGGAAAUGUCAUGUCCUAGGCUCAAUCCUCUCAGCGGUAGCUCUGAGAGAAGGUUCAAUGGUGAUUUGGUGGAAUGGGUUUUGCUGGUUUUUGAUCCCACGUUGCCUAUGUGUAGUAACUGCAGUGCCAUCAGCCCACACUGCCUUCUGAUUCAUAUGGGACUUUCCAUAUCUGGGUAGGACAGCUCUAUUUUUUGGGAGGAUGUGCUUUUCAUGACCUUUCAAAUAAAAUGAGGUAA